GGCAACCCUGACGGAGCAAUACCGCGUGGGGGAGGAAGGCUCUUGGGUCGUAAACCCCUUUUCUCAGGGAAGAACACAAUGACGGUACCUGAGGAAUCAGCAUCGGCUAACUCCGUGCCGGCAGCCGCGGUAAUACGGAGGAUGCAAGCGUUAUCCGGAAUCAUUGGGCGUAAAGCGUCCGUAGGUGGUAUUUCAAGUCUGCUGUUAAAGCCCGGGGCUCAACCCUGGAGGAGCAGUGGAAACUGGAGUACUGGAGUGCGGUAGGGGUAGAGGGAAUUCCCGGUGUAGCGGUGAAAUGCGUAGAUAUCGGGAAGAACACCAGUGGCGAAAGCGCUCUACUGGACCGUAACUGACACUGAUGGACGAAAGC
rnacentral:rRNA from 1 species